AUUGAACGCUGGCGGCAGGCUUAACACAUGCAAGUCGAGCGAGCGGCGGACUGGUGAGUAAUGUCUGGGAAACUGCCCGAUGGAGGGGGAUAACUACUGGAAACGGUAGCUAAUACCGCAUACCAUCAGAUGUGCCCAGAUGGGAUUAGCUAGUAGGUGGGGUAACGGCUCACCUAGGCGAAGCUCCCUAGCUGUUCUGAGAGGAUGACCAGCCACCCUGGAACUGAGACACGGUCCAGAUUCCUCCGGGAGGCAGCGUUGGGGAAUAUUGCACGUUGGUCGCAAGCCUGAUGCAGCCAUGCCGCGUGUAUGAAGAGGGCCUUCGGGUUGUAAAGUAAGUUCAGCGGGGAGGCGUUACUCGCAGAAGAAGCACCGGCUAGCUCCAUGACAGCAGCCGCGGUGAUAC
rnacentral:rRNA from 1 species